rnacentral:rRNA from 1 species
UAAGUUAAGUAAGUAAGGGCGUACGGCGGAUGCCUUGGCCAUAUCAGCCGAAGAAGGACGCGAUAAGCUGCGAUAAGCUGCGGUGAGGUGCAAGUAACCAGUGACCCGCAGAUUUCCGAAUGGGGAAACCCGGCAGUAGUAGUACUGUCACCUCUCUUUGAGAGGAGGGCACCCGGUGAACUGAAACAUCUAAGUAGCCGGAGGAAGAGGAAUCAAAAGAGAUGCCCCCAGUAGCCUAUUGAAGAAUGAACCGGCGAGUUAUUUCAUCCGGCGAGGUUAAGCGGAAAACGCGGAGCCGAAGCGAAAGCGAGUCUGAACAGGGCGAUAAGUCGGAUGGAAUAGACCCGAAACCACAGUGAUCUAUCCAUGCCCAGGUUGAAGCACAGGUAAAAAUGUGUGGAGGACCGAACCAGUGAGCGUUGAAAAGCUUUUGGAUGAGGUGUGGAUAGGGGUGAAAUGCCAAU